AAAAUUCUACUCGAUGCUCUCCUGUCUGAUGGAUAGUUCUCCUAUAUAUAUUAAAUUAAUAUUAUAAAAUAAAUAAAUUAAAUUAAUUUUUUAAAAUCUUCUAUUAGGGUUUAUUGAGAUCCUCACCCUUGUCUUCGACAUUUUUCCUUCCCAAAUUUUCUUAAACCAUCUAAAAAUAUAUAUAUAUUGAUUAUUUAAUUAUCUAAUUUAAUUUGUUAAUUAGUUGAGAAGAGAGAGAAGAAGCUUCUUCUUUUCUUCUCCUCGUCCAAAACAGGGGACCCGAUCCCCUUCUUCUCCUCUCCCCCGGC
rnacentral:lncRNA from 1 species